UGCUCUGCACAAAUGACUGCAUGUUGCUUAUAUUACUGCAACUACUAUACGUCAGGGGUUUUACUCCAACAGGAAGCUGCUUGAGGAUAUCCCGAAGCCGCAAAGAGGAUUCUGAUACUGUAAUGCAAUUCUUCCGCCUUCAUCAGAAAAAGGAUAUGGCAGCAGAAUUCCCCGUCUAGUUUGACAGAGGAGGAGAGAUUUUUACCUACUACGCUUUUUGAGCUUAAUCAGCAGAUGCUGCUUGACUGGCUGAGUUCUUCCAGCAUUUCCGUUCUUGUUGUCAGUGACUCCUGACCUUCUCAAAUUAAAAUUUGCUGCAAUGGUCCAAUAUGUCUUCAGUGUCUCCUGACUGACUCUGUACAGUGAGUCUAUCUUAAAGAGCAAUGAGGGACACUGCCAAACAAGUUCAAGAGCUCCAGAGAAAAGGAAGAUGAAGGUAUUGUUCAUUGGGAUUUCAUGUGGAUUGUCGGCUUGAAUGAAUGUCUAUGCUAAGAAUGGUGUGCAGCAUCUCCUUUUAAAGACCUGACCAAAUAGAAGAAUGGUAUCCACAUUUCUUCAAGUGGCAGAACAACCAGAGGCUACACAAUGUUCACAAGACAUUUAUCAUCAACCCUGCUGCUGAGAUAAGUGUGGUCCUCCAAUUAUUUUCUGCCAGAAAACCUACAAAAAUUAUUCAACAAGAACAAAGCAACAAUGGGAUCUAUCUUCAAUUCCAAGGUCAAUUUUGUAACAUGGCAACUGGACAAGGGAUAGUCCUGAAUAA